rnacentral:rRNA from 1 species
GUAGGUGGCAAGCGUUGUCCGGAAUUAUUGGGCGUAAAGCGCGCGCAGGCGGUCCUUUAAGUCUGAUGUGAAAGCCCGCGGCUCAACCGUGGAGGGUCAUUGGAAACUGGGGGACUUGAGUACAGAAGAGGAAAGCGGAAUUCCAAGUGUAGCGGUGAAAUGCGUAGAGAUUUGGAGGAACACCAGUGGCGAAGGCGGCUUUCUGGUCUGUAACUGACGCUGAGGCGCGAAAGCGUGGGGAGCAAACAGGAUUAGAUACCCUGGUAGUCCACGCCGUAAACGAUGAGUGCUAAGUGUUAGGGGGUUUCCCGCCCCCCUUAGUGCUGCAGCUAACGCAUUAAGCACUCCGCCUGGGGGAGUACGGCCCGCAAGGCUG